UAAGGAAUAUUGGACAAUGGUCGAAAGACUGAUCCAGCCAUGCCGCGUGCAGGAUUAAGGCCCUAUGGGUCGUAAACUGCUUUUAUACGGGACAAAACCCCCCGACGUGUCGGGGGCUGAUGGUACUGUAAGAAUAAGGGUCGCCUAACUUCGUGCCAGCAGCCGCGGUAAUACGAAGGACCCGAGCGUUAUCCGGAUUUAUUGGGUUUAAAGGGUGCGUAGGCGGAUUUAUAAGUCAGUGGUGAAAGCCUAUAGCUUAACUAUAGAAUUGCCAUUGAUACUGUAGGUCUUGAGUACAGUUGAGGUGGGCGGAAUGUGCAGUGUAGCGGUGAAAUGCUUAGAUAUUGCACAGAACACCAAUUGCGAAGGCAGCUCGCUAAGCUGUAACUGACGCUGAGGCACGAAAGUGUGGGUAGCAAACAG
rnacentral:rRNA from 1 species